UACCACCUUGCUUGUAACCCCCAACAAAC
rnacentral:piRNA from 1 species